UACGGAGGGUGCAAGCGUUAUCCGGAUUCACUGGGCUUAAAGGGCGCGUAGGCGGGCAGGUAAGUCAGUGGUGAAAUCUCCGGGCUUAACCCGGAAACUGCCAUUGAUACUAUUUGUCUUGAAUACCGUGGAGGUCAGCGGAAUAUGUCAUGUAGCGGUGAAAUGCUUAGAUAUGACAUAGAAUACCAAUUGCGAAGGCAGCUGGCUACACGAGCAUUGACACUCAGGCACGAAAGCGUGGGGAUCAAACAGG
rnacentral:rRNA from 1 species